CUUCCUACGGGGGGCAGCAGUGAGGAAUAUUGGUCAAUGGGAGAGAUCCUGAACCAGCCAAGCCGCGUGAGGGAAGACGGCCCUAUGGGUUGUAAACCUCUUUUGUCGGGGAACAAAACCCGGGACGUGCCCCGGACUGCGUGUAUCCGAAGAAAAAGCAUCGGCUAACUCCGUGCCAGCAGCCGCGGUAAUACGGAGGAUGCGAGCGUUAUCCUGAUUUAUUGGGUUUAAAGGGUGCGUAGGCGGUCUGGUAAGUCAGCGGUAAAAUUGCGGUGCUCAACCCCGUCGAGCCGCUGAAAC
rnacentral:rRNA from 1 species